rnacentral:rRNA from 1 species
UACGUAGGGGGCUAGCGUUGUCCGGAAUCAUUGGGCGUAAAGCGCGUGUAGGCGGUUCGGUAAGUCCGCUGUGAAAGUCGGGGGCUCAACCCUCGAAUGCCGGUGGAUACUGUCGGACUAGAGUACGGAAGAGGCGAGUGGAAUUCCUGGUGUAGCGGUGAAAUGCGCAGAUAUCAGGAGGAACACCAAUUGCGAAGGCAGCUCGCUGGGACGUUACUGACGCUGAGGCGCGAAAGCGUGGGGAGCGAACAGG